rnacentral:SRP_RNA from 1 species
GCCAGGCACAGUGAUACGUGGUUAUAGUCCCAGCUACUCAGGAGACUUAGGCAGGAGGAUUGCUCGAGCCUAAGAGUUCUGGGCUGUAGUGCCCUAUGCCAAUCAGGUGUCCACAGUAAGUUCAGUAUCAAUAUGGUGACCUCCCAGGUUGCCUAAGGAAGGGUGAAUCUGCCCAAGUCAGAAGCAAAGAGGUCAAAAAUCCUGUGCUGAUCAGUAGUGGGAUCAUGCCUGUGAAUAGCACCUGCACUCCAACCUAGGCAACACAGUGAGACCUGGUCUUU